UCCGGCUUGACGCCGGCAGUCCCCCGAGAGUCCUCAGCUUUACCUGUUAGUAACACGGGGCAAGGGUUGCGCUCGUUGCGGGACUUAACCCAACAUCUCACGACACGAGCUGACGACAGCCAUGCAGCACCUGUGUUCGAGUUCCCGAAGGCACCAAUCCAUCUCUGGAAAGUUCUCGACAUGUCAAGCCUUGGAUAAGGUUCUUCGCGUUGCUUCGAAUUAAGCCACAUGCUCCACCGCUUGUGUGAGCCCCCGUCAAUUCCUUUGAGUUUUAGCCUUGCGACCGUACUCCCCAGGCGGAAUGCUUAAAGCGUUAGCUACGGCACGGAUCCCGUGGAAGGAAACCCACACCUAGCGCCCACCGUUUACGGCGUGGACUAC
rnacentral:misc_RNA from 1 species